AUGAUUUAUUCUAUUGGUCUCGUUUUCUUCUCCUUUGAUGGUGAAUUAGUCCCUCAUUUCUUCUUCCCUGUUCUCCCUUUUGCUCCCUUUGUUGUUCUUGCCAUAGCGCCGAUCUUCACCGAGAAAAACACCACUUCGACUCCAACUGUUUCAGUCCCUAGCCCUAAGACUAGGAGUUUAAACCUUCACAGAUGGAACCGCAACGAAGAGAGGGUAAUUUUGAACUAA